rnacentral:rRNA from 1 species
UACGAAGGGUGCAAACGUUGCUCGGAAUUAUUGGGCGUAAAGCGCACGUAGGCGGUAUUGCAAGUCGGAUGUGAAAUCCCUCGGCUCAACCAAGGAAGUGCAUCCGAAACUGCCGUACUUGAGUACUAAAGAGGAUCGCGGAAUUCCCGGUGUAGAGGUGAAAUUCGUAGAUAGUUGGGAAGAACACCGAUGGCGAAGGCAGCCAUCUGGACCGACACUGACGCUGAGGCGCGAAAGCGUGGGGAGCAAACAGG